AGUCGAACGAAGUAGCAAUACUUAGUGGCAGACGGGUGAGUAACAUGUAGGUAUCUGCCCUUUGGCCUGGAAUAACACGAGGAAACUUGUGCUAAUACCUGAUAAGUCUUUACGGAGAAAGCUUUAUGCACCAUUGGAUGAGCCUGCACUUGAUUAGUUUGUUGGUGGGGUAAUGGCCUACCAAGACUGUGAUCAAUAGCUGAUUUGAGAGGAUGAUCAGCCACAUUGGGACUGAGACACGGCCCAAACUCCUACGGGAGGCAGCAGUGGGGAAUCUUGCACAAUGGAGGAAACUCUGAUGCAGCGAUGCCGCGUGAGUGAAGAAGGCCUUUGGGUUGUAAAGCUCUUUCGUCGGGGAAGAAAAUGACUGUACCCGAAUAAGAAGGUCCGGCUAACUUCGUGCCAGCAGCCGCGGUAAUACGAAGGGACCUAGCGUAGUUCGGAAUUACUGGGCUUAAAGAGUUCGUANGUGGUUGAAAAA
rnacentral:rRNA from 1 species